rnacentral:rRNA from 1 species
GAUGAACGCUGGCGGCGUGCUUAAUACAUGCAAGUCGAGCGAAAAGACGCUGAGCUUGCUCCUCUGACGUUAGCCGCGGACGGGAGUGAAACACGUGUAUAACCUCCCUAUAUGACUGGGAUAAUCUCGGGAAACCGGCUAUAAUACCGUAUAAUCUAUUGCACCACAUGGUUCAAUGGUGAAAUUCGGCGUUGCUGUCUCUUAUAGAUGGAUCCGCGCCGCAUUAGCUAGUUGGUAAGGUAACGGCUUACCACGGCAAGGAUGCGUAGCCGACCUGAGAGGGGGAUCGGCCACACUGGAACUGAGACGCGGUCCAGACGACUACGGGAGGCAGCAGUAGGGAAUCGUCCGCAAUGGGCGGAAGCCUGACGGAGCAACGGCGCGUGAGUGAUGAAGGUCUUCGGAGCGUAAAACUCUGUUAUUAGGGAAGAACAAAUGUGUAAGUAACUAUGCACGUCUUGACGGUACCUAAUCAAAAAGCCACGGCUAACUACGUG